rnacentral:piRNA from 1 species
UGGACAUGCUAGCUGGUUGCUCUAUGCUU